UUUCCGUAGGUGAACCUGCGGAAGGAUCAUUAAUGAGUUGUCAUGAGGUUCGAUGCUGGCAGCCAAUUUUUGGAUGCAUGUGCUUGCCCUAACAAUCAUCUUCCAAACACCUGUGCACAUUUUUGAGGGAGUCUUGAGUUGGUUGCCGCUCUUGGGUGAUUUUCUCACAUUCCCUUAAAUCAUUAUACGCUAUUAACAAUGUUGAACGUGCUCUGUGCCGCAAGGCUAUUAAUAUAAUACAACUUUUAACAACGGAUCUCUUGGCUCUC
rnacentral:misc_RNA from 1 species